AGAGUUUGAUCCUGGCUCAGGAUGAACGCUAGCGACAGGCUUAACACAUGCAAGUCGAGGGGCAGCGGGGGUAGCAAUACCCGCCGGCGACCGGCGCACGGGUGAGUAACGCGUAUGCAACUUGCCUAUCAGAGGGGGAUAACCCGGCGAAAGUCGGACUAAUACCGCAUGAAGCAGGGGCCCCGCAUGGGGAUAUUUGCUAAAGAUUCAUCGCUGAUAGAUAGGCAUGCGUUCCAUUAGGCAGUUGGCGGGGUAACGGCCCACCAAACCGACGAUGGAUAGGGGUUCUGAGAGGAAGGUCCCCCACAUUGGUACUGAGACACGGACCAAACUCCUACGGGAGGCAGCAGUGAGGAAUAUUGGUCAAUGGCCGAGAGGCUGAACCAGCCAAGUCGCGUGAAGGAAGAAGGAUCUAUGGUUUGUAAACUUCUUUUAUAGGGGAAUAAAGUGGAGGACGUGUCCUUUUUUGUAUGUACCCUAUGAAUAAGCAUCGGCUAACUCCGUGCCAGCAGCCGCGGUAAUACGGAGGAUGCGAGCGUUAUCCGGAUUUAUUGGGUUUAAAGGGUGCGUAGGUGGUGAUUUAAGUCAGCGGUGAAAGUUUGUGGCUCAACCAUAAAAUUGCCGUUGAAACUGGGUUACUUGAGUGUGUUUGAGGUAGGCGGAAUGCGUGGUGUAGCGGUGAAAUGCAUAGAUAUCACGCAGAACUCCGAUUGCGAAGGCAGCUUACUAAACCAUAACUGACACUGAAGCACGAAAGCGUGGGGAUCAAACAGGAUUAGAUACCCUGGUAGUCCACGCAGUAAACGAUGAUCACUAGCUGUUUGCGAUACAGUGUAAGCGGCACAGCGAAAGCGUUAAGUGAUCCACCUGGGGAGUACGCCGGCAACGGUGAAACUCAAAGGAAUUGACGGGGGCCC
rnacentral:rRNA from 1 species